AUUGGAGGUAUUUCAUAAGAGUU
rnacentral:snRNA from 1 species